rnacentral:rRNA from 1 species
UUGAACGCUGGCGGCAUGCCUUACCCAUGCAAGUCGAACGGCAGCACGGGUGCUUGCCCCUGGUGGCGAGUGGCGAACGGGUGAGUAAUACAUCGGAACAUGUCCUGUAGUGGGGGAUAGCCCGGCGAAAGCCGGAUUAAUACCGCAUACGAUCUACGGAUGAAAGCGGGGGACCUUCGGGCCUCGCGCUAUAGGGUUGGCCGAUGGCUGAUUAGCUAGUUGGUGGGGUAAAGGCCUACCAAGGCGACGAUCAGUAGCUGGUCUGAGAGGACGACCAGCCACACUGGGACUGAGACACGGCCCAGACUCCUACGGGAGGCAGCAGUGGGGAAUUUUGGACAAUGGGCGAAAGCCUGAUCCAGCAAUGCCGCGUGUGUGAAGAAGGCCUUCGGGUUGUAAAGCACUUUUGUCCGGAAAGAAAUCCUUGGCCCUAAUACGGUCGGGGGAUGACGGUACCGGAAGAAUAAGCACCGGCUAACUACGUG